rnacentral:rRNA from 1 species
AGCGAACGCUGGCGGCAGGCCUAACACAUGCAAGUCGAGCGCCCCGCAAGGGGAGCGGCAGACGGGAGAGUAACACGUGGGAACGUACCCUUCGGUUCGGAACAACCCAGGGAAACUUGGGCUAAUACCGGAUACGUCCGAAAGGAGAAAGAUUUAUCGCCGAGGGAUCGGCCCGCGUCUGAUUAGCUAGUUGGUGGGGUAACGGCCCACCAAGGCGACGAUCAGUAGCUGGUCUGAGAGGAUGAUCAGCCUCACUGGGACUGAGACACGGCCCAGACUCCUACGGGAGGCAGCAGUGGGGAAUAUUGGACAAUGGGCGCAAGCCUGAUCCAGCCAUGCCGCGUGGGUGAUGAAGGCCCUAGGGUUGUAAAGCCCUUUCGGCGGGGAAGAUAAUGACGGUACCCGCAGAAGAAGCCCCGGCUAACUUCGUGCCAGCCGCCGCCGUAA